rnacentral:rRNA from 1 species
GAUGAACGCUGGCGGCGUGCUUAACACAUGCAAGUCGAACGAUGAAAGCGGGAGCUUGCUCCUGCUGGAUUAGUGGCGAACGGGUGAGUAACACGUGAGCAAUCUGCCCCGAACUCUGGGAUAAGCGUUGGAAACGACGUCUAAUACCGGAUACGACGCGCGAAGGCAUCUUCUGCGCGUGGAAAGAACUUCGGUUCGGGAUGAGCUCGCGGCCUAUCAGCUAGUUGGUGAGGUAACGGCCCACCAAGGCGACGACGGGUAGCCGGCCUGGGGGGGUGACCGGCCACACUGGGACUGAGAAACGGCCCGGACUCCUACGGGAGGCAGCAGUGGGGAAUAUUGCACAAUGGGCGCAAGCCUGAUGCAGCAACGCCGCGUGAGGGACGACGGCCUUCGGGUUGUAAACCUCUUUUAGUAGGGAAGAAGCGAAAGUGACGGUACCUGCAGAAAAAGCACCGGCUAACUACGUGCCAGCCGCCGCAGUAAGAC